rnacentral:rRNA from 1 species
GGCAGACGGGUGAGUAACGCCCGGGAAUCUACCUUACCCUACUGAAUAACGCAUGGAAACGUGUGCUAAUACCGUAUGCGCCCUACGGGGGAAAGAUUUAUCGGGGUAUGAUGAGCCCGCGUUGGAUUAGCUAGUUGGUGGGGUAAAGGCCUACCAAGGCGACGAUCCAUAGCUGGUCUGAGAGGAUGAUCAGCCACAUUGGGACUGAAACACGGCCCAAACUCCUACGGGAGGCAGCAGUGGGGAAUAUUGGACAAUGGGCGCAAGCCUGAUCCUUCCAUGCCGCGUGAGUGAUGAAGGUCUUAGGAUUGUAAAGCUCUUUCACCGGAGAAGAUAAUGACGGUAUCCGGAGAAGAAGCCCCGGCUAACUUCGUGCCAGCAGCCGCGGUAAUACGAAGGGGGCUAGCGUUGUUCGGAAUUACUGGGCGUAAAGCGCACGUAGGCGGAUAUUUAAGUCAGGGGUGAAAUCCCAGAGCUCAACUCUGGAACUGCCUUUGAUACUGGAUAUCUAGAGUAUGGAAGAGGUGAGUGGAAUUCCGAGUGUAGAGGUGAAGUUCGUAGAUAUUCGGAGGAACACCAGUGGCGAUCGCGGCUCACUGGUCCAUUACUGACGCUGAGGUGCGAAAGCGUGGGGAGCAAACAGGAUUAUAUACCCUGGUAGUCCACGCCGUAAACAAUGAAUGUUAGCCGUCGGGCAGAUUGCUGUUCGGUGGCGCAGCUAACGCAUUAAUCAUUCCGCUCUGGGGAGUACGGGUCGCAAGAUUAAAACUCAAAGGAAUUGA